rnacentral:rRNA from 1 species
GACUUGUGUUUAAAUUAGAGCUUUGCUCCGUGAACCAAAUAUGGUGGGCUGGGUUGUCUUUGCGGAAACGCUUGGGCGACUUGUCUACGAAUUGUAAUCAUAAUAUGGGCGGCGGUGAAUCCUUUGCAGACGACUUGAAUGGGAACGGGGUACUGUAAGUGGUAGAGUAGCCUUGUUGCUACGAUCCACUGAGGUUAAGCCCUUGUUCUAAAGAUUUGU